CUAUACAUGCAAGUCGAGCGAACAGAUAAGGAGCUUGCUCCUUUGACGUUAGCGGCGGACGGGUGAGUAACACGUGGGUAACCUACCUAUAAGACUGGGAUAACUUCGGGAAACCGGAGCUAAUACCGGAUAACAUUUGGAACCGCAUGGUUCUAAAGUGAAAGAUGGUUUUGCUAUCACUUAUAGAUGGACCCGCGCCGUAUUAGCUAGUUGGUAAGGUAACGGCUUACCAAGGCGACGAUACGUAGCCGACCUGAGAGGGUGAUCGGCCACACUGGAACUGAGACACGGUCCAGACUCCUACGGGAGGCAGCAGUAGGGAAUCUUCCGCAAUGGGCGAAAGCCUGACGGAGCAACGCCGCGUGAGUGAUGAAGGGUUUCGGCUCGUAAAACUCUGUUAUUAGGGAAGAACAAAUGUGUAAGUAACUGUGCACGUCUUGACGGUACCUAAUCAGAAAGCCACGGCUAACUACGUGCCAGCAGCCGCGGUAAUACGUAGGUGGCAAGCGUUAUCCGGAAUUAUUGGGCGUAAAGCGCGCGUAGGCGGUUUCUUAAGUCUGAUGUGAAAGCCCACGGCUCAACCGUGGAGGGUCAUUGGAAACUGGGAAACUUGAGUGCAGAAGAGGAAAGUGGAAUUCCAUGUGUAGCGGUGAAAUGCGCAGAGAUAUGGAGGAACACCAGUGGCGAAGGCGACUUUCUGGUCUGUAACUGACGCUGAUGUGCGAAAGCGUGGGGAUCAAACAGGAUUAGAUACCCUGGUAGUCCACGCCGUAAACGAUGAGUGCUAAGUGUUAGGGGGUUUCCGCCCCUUAGUGCUGCAGCUAACGCAUUAAGCACUCCGCCUGGGGAGUACGACCGCAAGGUUGAAACUCAAAGGAAUUGACGGGGACCCGCACAAGCGGUGGAGCAUGUGGUUUAAUUCGAAGCAACGCGAAGAACCUUACCAAAUCUUGACAUCCUUUGAAAACUCUAGAGAUAGAGCCUUCCCCUUCGGGGGACAAAGUGACAGGUGGUGCAUGGUUGUCGUCAGCUCGUGUCGUGAGAUGUUGGGUUAAGUCCCGCAACGAGCGCAACCCUUAAGCUUAGUUGCCAUCAUUAAGUUGGGCACUCUAGGUUGACUGCCGGUGACAAACCGGAGGAAGGUGGGGAUGACGUCAAAUCAUCAUGCCCCUUAUGAUUUGGGCUACACACGUGCUACAAUGGACAAUACAAAGGGCAGCUAAACCGCGAGGUCAUGCAAAUCCCAUAAAGUUGUUCUCAGUUCGGAUUGUAGUCUGCAACUCGACUACAUGAAGCUGGAAUCGCUAGUAAUCGUAGAUCAGCAUGCUACGGUGAAUACGUUCCCGGGUCUUGUACACACCGCCCGUCACACCACGAGAGUUUGUAACACCCGAAGCCGGUGGAGUAACCAUUUAUGGAGCUAGCCGUCGAAG
rnacentral:rRNA from 1 species